CGCACGUUUCACACUCCGUAUUGGGUUGCUCGACAUCUGGGCAAAUUGCAAGCGCACAGAUCAGCGCAGACCACUAAACUGAAUUUCACUGUGGAUUGACUGUUAAACAAUCAUAAAAUUAACAUUAAUAUCGUUUGAAUUUUAACACAACCAACAACCAUGUCUGGUGGCGAUCCACCCGGUUCCGAAAACCUCAAAGGUCUAGCCAGAAUUUUUAACAGUGAAACGAAUUUUGGAAGAGCAAACGUCGCGAAAGCUACGUAUGCUGCGAUAGCUUUGAUCAUUGCGUACAAUAUGUUGAAACCCAAGAGCAAAAAAUAGUCAUUAAUCUUUAAGAUGAUCAUUCGUCAGAAGAUAUACAUUAUUACAUAAUGUUAAAAUCAAUUACUGUGUAACACCUAAAGUUGCGUUAAAUGAAAAAAAGUUAAAUAAAAUAUAAAAAUGUGAAAUGCUA